UAGGUAUUCCCUCCGUUCUGAAUUACUUGUCACAGAAAUAGAUAUAUCUAGAUGUAUUUUAGUUCUAGAUACAUCCAUUUCUACAACGAGUAAUUUGGAACGAAGGAAGUACAAA
rnacentral:pre_miRNA from 1 species